ensembl:lncRNA
GCUGAAUAUAGUGACACACGCCUGUAAUCCCAGCACUCUUGGAGGCUGAGGCAGAAGGAUGAUUGAACUUGGGUCCUUGUGCUUUCGAAGCAAGCGGCGGAACCACUGAGCUAAAUCCCCGGCCCUAUGACCCGUUUUUGACAAGAUUUCCUGGGUGUCGUCUGGGUGCCUGGCCCAGUUCCAGCAGAGGGAUGAAGAGGAAGAACACUGUCCCUCCAGAGCAGUCACAGUGCACUCUGUGCUACAGGGGCAGCAUGUUCCUUCAGGCAAAUGUGCAUAUCAGUGGCUCAAUAAAUAGGAAUGCAGUUAAAUGAGGCACAGACAGCAGGAUAAUAAAAAGAAAUUAGUGACUUCCACAAAGGGAGCAGCACAGCAGCUCACAGGUGUGUGGUGAUGUGGAACUAGUUCCACGUUCUAAUUGUCUAGUGAGCUCCCUGCUCAAGUCAAAUUCUGGACACAGACUGCAGCUGCUUUCUCUCAUAUGUGGUGGAGUGGUGUUAGAGAGGUAGAAAGUGAUUUGGAUUUAACCCAGCACAGACUGGUUAUGAGAAAAGAGAGAGCAUUUUGCAUUUCUUGCCCCAAAGCCUGUCAGUGCUAUCAACCUGGCUAUACUCCAAGAAUGAUGUCACCUACAGUUGUCCAAUUUGCACAUCACUCCCUCAAAUCAAAACACCACACCUGGCUGAAAUUACUUUCUUGAUUAAGCAUUUUAGGACUUUUUUUUUUUUUUAGUGGCAGUGGUGGUGAUGGAGCCAGAGAGCACUGAAUUAGGUCCUCAGUCCUUUCUACUUUUUAAAUUUUAAUUUGAGACAACAUCUUGAUAAAUUGCUCAAGCUGGCCUUAAAUUUUUGACCUCUUGUCUCAGCCAACUGAGCAGCUGGGAUUACAGGUGUGCUCACCUAAUUUAAUUUUUGAUCAACCAUCUACAUAAGAUGCCUUUUUUCCAUUUACAUUAAUGAAAUUAAUACACUUUAAGCCAGGUGUGGUGGUGCAUACCUGUAAUCCCAGCAUUCUGGGAAGCUGAGCAGUAUGAUCACAAGUUCCAACCCAGCCUGGAAAAUUUGAGACCCUG